rnacentral:pre_miRNA from 1 species
GAUUUAAAGCUGGAGAGACCAGACCCGUCAGGCGCACACUGUGGCUGACGGGUUUGGUCUCUCCAGCUUAAUUAU